rnacentral:rRNA from 1 species
CUGGGCUAGAAUGCCUCUGACAACCCUAGAGAUAGGGCUUCCUAGGGAAACCUAGGCAGAGUGCAAGGUGCUGCAUGGCUGUCGUCAGCUCGUGUCGUGAGAUGUUGGGUUAAGUCCCGCAACGAGCGCAACCCUUAUCGAUAGUUGCUAGCGGUUCGGCCGAGCACUCUAUUGAGACUGCCGUUGACAAAACGGAGGAAGGUGGGGAUGACGUCAAGUCCUCAUGGCCUUUAUGUCCAGGGCUACACACGUGCUACAAUGGCAAGUACAAAGCGCUGCAAACUCGCGAGAGGGAGCCAAUCGCAAAAAGCUUGUCUCAGUUCGGAUUGGAGUCUGCAACUCGACUCCAUGAAGCUGGAAUCGCUAGUAAUCGCGGAUCAGCACGCUGCGGUGAAUACGUUCCC